rnacentral:lncRNA from 1 species
AUCCUUACAUCAAAUAUAGUUCACAAAACAUCAAGAAACAUUGGUAAGCAUUAGUAAAUCCAAAACAGCCUUCAAACAUACUUUCCUAUCAUUGUUGAGGGCAAAACAGGGGCCCUCAACGUCACCUACAACCAAAUCGUUCAGACAACACAUAAAUCUCAAUUCUACAAAAAUCUGGAUCAACGCCAGGCUGGCGCUGAGCAGUGUGCGCGACACAUCUCUUCUUUUUUCUAGCUUGCCCUAAGCAUUUUAAAAGCAUCCCCUCACUUAAUUAAUG